rnacentral:lncRNA from 1 species
ACUUCCUGUGUUCCAAUUUGUACCUGUUGCGCCUUGUUCUGUCACUAGGCACCACUGAAAACUGCCUGGCCCUGUCUACUUGACUCCCACCUGUUAGAUAUCUAUAAUCACUGAUAAGAUCUCCUCUCAGUCUUCUGUUCUCCAGACUUGAACAUUCAUAGGUCUCUCAGUCUUUUUUCACAAGGGAGGAGCUCCAGGCUCCUUGUUCUCUUGGUGGCCCUAUGCCCAAGAGCAAUUUGUUCCUAUCACUUUUUAGCAACUUGUGUCUAAGACCUGUCUCCUUGAAGAUGAUUUAUUUGUGAGGCAGAUGAAGAACAUGACAGCUAUCCCAAACAUGCUAGCAUUGGCUAAAUCAAUACACAGCCAAGGGAGCAGUGGGAAUGCUGCCUCACCCCACCAGUGAGGGCUGAUCUGAAGUAACUACAAAUGAUGUGGGAGAUGAUGGGGUAAAACAUGGCACAAAGUCUAACUGUGAUGUUUGAGGAAAGGAAAUUAGAAGGAAUCCUAUGAGUUUCAGACUUUGGGAAACUGUUCCAGCUGUAACUUCAGUAGACUGAUAAGAGCAAACAAGAGUGAGAAGCCUCUGUCAUAUUGGCUGGGGUGUCCUCAUGGGAGUCACUGGAUGGCCUCAAUACCAGCUUGUGCCUGUAAUAGAAGUUCAAGCUGCAAAGCUAUAAUCUUCCUUUCCUGCUGACCUGCUUCAAAGUUUUAUUCUUGCUCACAAGCAUAGGACAGGGAUCUGUAGCUUGUACUUUUCCUAGGACUGAUCAUUCACAUUAAAUGUAUUCUGAGUGAGUUAUCUUCACCAUUGUUCCACUUGGGCACAUCCUGAGUCUUUUGCGUGGUGUGACACACUUCUGGAGAGUGCACCUACCUACUUAUUACAAAGGCUUAAAUGUUAAGGGGUGGUUAACAUCAACCCUUGAUGAUGGAGCUGGCAUUUAGCUUGGAAAUACAAAUGAAGAUGACAGCUACCACAGACAGCAGCUCUGAUAGGCUCCUUCUGUUCUCAGUGGUAUCCGGAUCAGUUUUCUUCAUGCACAAAUCCCAGAAUUUCUCUUUUGGAGAAUCAAAGACAGCUUUAGUGGAUUGAGACCCCAUUUGUCAGCUGAGGAGGACCCUUUCUAGGUCAAGGGACUGCCACCCUGGGGCAUACUCUCAAUCACAAGGUAAAAGUGGACAAGUUUAAACUCUUUGUCAUGUACAGUGUGAGAAAGCAGGAAGAUUUUAGUUGCCAGGGAUCUGUCAUUCUGUCAUAUCCCUUCUUCCUCUGUUUUUUGUCUGUGGCAUAAGUAUGUGCAGAAUGAGCUCUAUCUUUUUCAAAGGUGAGAUAAUAAAUACUACUAUAAUAAACA